UGCACACCAUUGCUAGCUCCUGUACUAAAGAAAAUAAAGAAGGAAAAUCACCCCAGUAGCAUUUGGGUUCCGGUCGAGUGAUCGAGUCCAGUCUCUUGGAAGGGAAGAGAAAGGUAGAUACGUGACGAUGGCUGCACCAGCUUCGAUUCAAAAGACUGAGGAAGAGUGGCGGGCUAUUCUCUCUCCCAAGCAAUUUCCUAUUCUCCGGGAGAAAGGAACUGAAUUGAAAUUCACAGGAGAAUACGAUAAGUUCUUUGGUGAAGGAGUGUGCAAUUGUGCUGGUUGUGGGACACCACUCUACAAAUCAGCUGCCAAAUUUGACUCUGGUUGUGGUUGGCCU
rnacentral:misc_RNA from 1 species